GGCCAGUAAUGGUCAACAGGUUGACCAGUGGUGACCAACAGUUGACCGUGAGCCCAAGUGGGUCCUGGUAGCCAAUAGGGGCCAGUAAUGGUCAACAGGUUGACCAGUGGUGGCCAACAGUUGACUGUAAGCCCCAGUGGGUCCUGGUAGCCAAUAGGGGCCAGUAAUGGUCAACAGGUUGACCAGUGGUCGACCAACAAUUGACCGUGAGCCCAAGUGGGUCCUGGUAGCCAAUAGGGGCCAGUAAUGGUCAACAGGUUGACCAGUGGUGACCAACAGUUGACCGUGAGCCAGCACUGUGCCCUGGUAGCCAAGAAGGCCAACGGUGGCCAACAAGUUGACCUCAGUGGUGGCCAACAGGUUGACCAGCAGUUGACCACGAGGCAGCAGUGUGUGCCCAGUGCCCCUGUCUUGUCACUAGGGCCCACCAAACGCAGCCCAGCCCCAUCCUGCUGCCCCCCACCCUCUCAGAUCCCUCUCAGUCUCCUCCCCAGCUGCACAGCCCCAGGCCUCUCAGCCUGUCCCCACCAGGAGGUGCUCCAGGCCCCCAGCAUCUCCGCAGCCUCUGCUGGGCUCAGUUCCCCAUCAGCCCUGACCUGGGGAGCCCAGCACUGGGCCCAGUGCUCCAGACGGGGCCUCCCCAGUGCAGAGCACCCAGCUGGCCACGCUUUGGGCAAAGCAUCCCAGGGUUCUGUUGGCCUUCUUGGCCACCAGGGCGCCCUGCUGGCUCGUGAUCAGCUGCCACUCAACCACUGGUCAACUGUUGGUCAACCACUGGUCAACUGUUG